GUCUCACCUACCAAAUCAUAAUAAAUAUCUAUAUAUUUGGAGAUAGAGAUGAAAACCAUGUGGCCUGUAUCCAGUUGGAGUGAAAAAUAUGAACUAUGAAGAAAGAAGGAGUUCUGCUUCUUCCAAAGGAGUGAUUCCCAAAGGAGCGACUCCCAAAGGAGCAAGAAUUGACCAUAGGUUAUGGCUUGUGUUACAACACACUGAUGUUGUCUCUGAGGCCAUCCACUGACGUCGUCACCCGUGGCAUAAGCAAGUUUUUCUGAAGGUCUCUCUUGUGCUCCUGCCUCCUGCCAUGAGAACAGCAAGUCCCAGGUAAGAACUAAUCCUUCUGCCUAACUCUCCAUAGGAGAAAACCUGAACUUGACCUACGGUCUGGAACAGAGCCACCCAGAUGACCCACAGACACUGGGAGAGAAAUGAAGACUUAUUGUUUUAGACUUUGAUAUUCUGGAAUUGAUUGUGGCAUCAUUACGGCAAAAGCUGACUAAUACAAUUCCACUUUUUAUUCUAUUAAGUUCUUUUUAUUAAAAAAGUAUAUAACCAUUGUUGAAAAAUUAGAAAAUACAGAAAAUCAAAAUGAAGAAAAAAAUUGGGUAGGAAGACAGGCUCAAACAACUAUGAUGCAAUUACAUGUUUAUUUACAAUUGUGAUAAGUGCUAUAAAGGGAAAGCCUGUAUUCUAGGAUAAUAUUAAUAUUUAAAAAGAGGGCAUAGGCUAGGCAUGGUGGUUCAUGCCUAUAAUCCCAGCACUUUGGGAGGCCGAGGCAGACAAAUCACCUGAGGUCAGGAGUUUGAGACCACCCUGGCCAACAUGGUGAAAUCCCAUCUCUACUAAAAAUACAACAAUUAGCUGGGCAUGGGGCACAUACUUGUAAUCCCAGCUGGUCGGGAGGCUGAGGCAGGAGAACCACUUGAACCCAGGAGGCGGAGGUCACAGUGAGCCAAGAGCACACCACUGCACUCCAGCCUGGGCGACAGAGCGAGACUCCAUCUCAAAAAAAAAAAGAAGGCAUGAUAUAAUCUGGAAUCAGGAAAAACUUUCCAAAAGAAAUAAUGUUAUGCAUAUCAUGUAUUAAAUACAUAAAAACUAUAAUGUUGCAUCUAUUAUAAUACACACAUACUUUUAUAUUACAAAUAGGUUAGUUCUUAUAUAUAUAUUUCUUAUACAUAUUUCUCUCAUAUAUAAUGUAACAUGUAUAAGAGAACAUAGUACUGAAUUUAUUCUCUUCAAUGGACAAUAUAAAAUUAACAUCUUUCCACAUUAACAAGUAUGUUCUCACAUCAUCAUUUAUUUUAAUGCCUGUCUCAUAUUCCAGUGAUAUGUGUGGGCCAUGGUUGAUUCAACCCAUCCUCUGAUGUUGGACAUUUGACUUGAUUUUUAUUUUUUGUCACUCUGAACAAUCUUGUAAUGAACAUUCUAGCAAGGACUCUAACCUGUUUGCUGAAGAGAAAUAAUUGUGGUGAAAAUGAGAAAAUUAUGUGCUGUGAAGCAAAAUUCUAUGACAUAUCCUGACCUUAUGUAUCCCCUCAGGAAGCAUAAUGGAAAUAUUUAUGUUUGAAAUAAAAUUUCUCAUGUACUUCCAGCU